GACGAACGCUGGCGGCGUGCCUAAUACAUGCAAGUAGAACGCUGAAGGAGGAGCUUGCUUCUCUGGAUGAGUUGCGAACGGGUGAGUAACGCGUAGGUAACCUGCCUGGUAGCGGGGGAUAACUAUUGGAAACGAUAGCUAAUACCGCAUAAGAGUAGAUGUUGCAUGACAUUUGCUUAAAAGGUGCAAUUGCAUCACUACCAGAUGGACCUGCGUUGUAUUAGCUAGUUGGUGAGGUAACGGCUCACCAAGGCAACGAUACAUAGCCGACCUGAGAGGGUGAUCGGCCACACUGGGACUGGGACACGGCCCAGAAUCCUACGGGAGGCAGCAGUAGGGAAUCUUCGGCAAUGGACGGAAGUCUGACCGAGCAACGCCGCGUGAGUGAAGAAGGUUUUCGGAUCGUAAAGCUCUGUUGUAAGAGAAGAACGAGUGUGAGAGUGGAAAGUGCACACUGUGACGGUAUCUUACCAGAAAGGGACGGCUAACUACGUG
rnacentral:rRNA from 1 species